rnacentral:lncRNA from 1 species
AAUGAGUUAGCAUGUUUCAAGAAGUGUGUAUCUGAGAUAGUUAAAUCUGAUUGUUUCGUGAAGUCCAUGCAGUUUAUUUGUUCGAUCCCUCCAGCAAUGUACUGUUUGAAAGUCGUAUUAGUCAAAGCUGACUAGAGUCACUGUUAAGUCACACAAGUGAGAGAUGUAGCUGGUAUUGCUUAUUCAAGGGGUGAGAAUACAGGACUGAGUCCAGCAAGCAACCAGAAGCUCCAAUUUCUGUCUGAGCUCCUUUUUUUCUGGAAACCAGGUCUCGUGAGACUAUACUGCUUCCUGGCUGAAUGGAAAAGAAGUAGCCAUUGAAGUACAGAGCCUAAGGCUAAUUCCUGCUCUAACUCCCAUUGAAACCAACAGGAUAUCAUUGCUUAAAUAAUUUAGACAAUUAAGCUUUUGGAUGCUACAAUGAGGAGGACCAUGCAAGUGCACUGAGAACAUCCCACCCGUCAACUCAGUAUCUUUCCAGCCCACAUCAGUGUGAGGUCAGUAGGACAGGAGAGAAUCCCGACAAAGAGACAGAACCAUCAGUUACUGCAAUGAGAGCGAAGCAUGGAGGGAGGCAGGACAGACGUGGAGAGAGCUCUCUUCAGAUUCAGCUCAGGAACUGUCUAAUUCUCCAGACCUGCCCAUGCUGGAAAACCAAAAGCUUCUGUGCAGGAGGAGGGAUGUGCUUCUGGUGCACAGUACAGUUCAGCUGCCAAAGUUGUGCUGUGUCAAGACUCUUUGAGGCUGUGAAGGAGUCUGAAGAGGAUUUAACUCAUGAUGAUGAAACAGGACCAGAACACUGCACUGCACAAAGCAGAGAUCAAACACAUUUGCCCUCAAAAGAAGUGUAAGAAAUUGUGAGAGAGCUGCAAUGCCUUGGUGAGCUGAGAAUGAGCAGCCUGAGGCAAUACAUAUCCAGAGAGCAGCAAAUUCAGCAAAGCAGCAGCUAAACACCUCAUUCUGCAGCCUAAGUAUAACCCGUUUCUUGUGAGAUUUYCCUAUACCUAAGAGAGAAGGAAGCUUUUAUUUUGGGGGGGGGAAGAAAAUGUAAUCAAAUUGGAGAUCGAAUCUCUGCUCUGAAUUCACCAUACGAUUGUAUGCUAAAUACAUUCUGACAACUGCGAUUCUCCAUUCAUCACUGAAGCUUUGCCUUCAUUGCAAAACUUCUUGCACUUAUGCCUUAAUCACACUUCUAGUGAUAUAGAUGGCUCAAGUAUCCAUUGACUGCAGUGGGACAAUAAUCUUUAAUGUGCAAUUAUCAAAUUUCUGUCUGCAGACACUAUUUAAAACUGAGUCAUGUUAUAUGAUCGUGCAUUCAGGAAAUGAAGGCGACAGUCUCUGACUGGAAUUUCAUCUAUUUUAAAGCAGAGACAAUUCAGGAAAGAAACUGUAGACUGUGGGUCAGCAAUAGACUGAUUCACAUUAAAAAGAGAAAACUAUGCAAAAGCUAUAGCUUGCUAUGAUUUGGUUACUUUAUGAAUCUCACAAAGUAUUCACCAACACGUAGCAUUUUUCUUUUACCUCUUUUCAAUUCAUGCAAAGAAUAAACAGCAUGCAUCUUUCA